rnacentral:rRNA from 1 species
CGAGGGGCAGCAUGAGAGUAGCAAUACUCUUGAUGGCGACCGGCGCACGGGUGCGUAACGCGUAUGCAACCUACCUGUAACAGGGGGAUAACACUGAGAAAUCGGUACUAAUACCGCAUAACACUUCGGGAGGCAUCUUCUGGGGUUGAAAGUUUCGGCGGUUACAGAUGGGCAUGCGUUGUAUUAGCUAGUUGGUGAGGUAACGGCUCACCAAGGCGACGAUACAUAGGGGGACUGAGAGGUUAACCCCCCACAUUGGUACUGAGACACGGACCAGACUCCUACGGGAGGCAGCAGUGAGGAAUACGGGACAACGGACCGAACUCAGAACCAGCCACGCCGCGGCAAGGAAGACGGCACAAAGAGGAGGAAACGGCCGCCGCCCAAGAGAAAACCGGAACACGCGCACCCAGCAGAAAAAAAAACACGAAGAAGGAGCGGCGAGGGCCGAACCAGCAGCCGCGGUAAUACGGAGGAUCCAAGCUUUAUCCGGAAUUAUUGGGUUUAAAAGGGUGCGUAGGCGGAUUGAUAAGUUAGAGGUGAAAUGUCCGGGCUUAACUCGGGAACUGCCUCUAAUACUGUUGAUCUAGAGAGUAGAUGCGGUAGGCGGAAUGUAUGGUGUAGCGGUGAAAUGCUUAGAGAUCAUACAGAACACCGAUUGCGAAGGCAGCUUACCAAACUAUAUCUGACGUUGAGGCACGAAAGCGUGGGGAGCAAACAGGAUUAGAUACCCUGGUAGUCCACGCAGUAAACGAUGAUAGCUCGUUGUCGGCGAUACACAGUCGGUGACUAAGAGAAAUCGAUAAGCUAUCCACCUGGGGAGUACGUUCGCAAGAAUGAAACUCAAAGGAAUUGACGGGGGCCCGCACAAGCGGAGGAACAUGUGGUUUAAUUCGAUGAUACGCGUGGAACCUUACCCGGGCUUGAAAGUUACUGACGAUACUGGAAACAGUAUUUCCCUUCGGGGCAGGAAACUAGGUGCUGCAUGGUUGUCGUCAGCUCGUGCCGUGAGGUGUCGGGUUAAGUCCCAUAACGAGCGCAACCCCUACUGAUAGUUGCCAUCAGGUUAAGCUGGGCACU